rnacentral:lncRNA from 1 species
CAAAAGAUGAUUUGCAUAAAAAUUCACAAUCAAAAAGUACAUAAUAGGAGAGGUCCAAAAAUUUCUCCAUUAAAUAACGAAGAUAUAGGUACAAAGCUUCUAAAUUCAAUAUCAAACAAAUUCAUAAUUCAUCAAAAAUAUUAACCAACUUGAUUUCUACUAAAAUAUUUCCGAGCUUCUUAUUUCAACCUCCAAACCUCAAUUAUCCCUUUGUGCUCCCAGCAGGCUGAAAAAGAAGAAAAAUGAGAAGAGUGGCUUCAUAGGUCAGUAAGUAAUCAUGCACUACCUUACCGGAUCAAGCCUAAAUUUUAGAUGUUUCAAUGCAUCAUUUGGAAAGUAAACUUUUACUGUAAAAUAAAAUAUUUUGUAUGCAUAAUAACAAACUAUAUCGUAGCAAUCCAAUCAUGUACGCACAAAUCAUGCAAGUUCGUAAAGCUAAAAAUGCAAUUUAAAUUUUUCAUAAUUGCCAAAUAUUUGCCAUUUAUUCAUACUAUCAAUUAAAAUACUGCUUUCAGAUUUUUUGCGCUAUAGUUACUAUAACCCGUGAUAGGGUUAUUUUCGUAAUUGACAAGAUAUCAUAGUUCGUGUUCGUUACCAAUUUUAACCCGUUGCUAGAGGGCCGUUUUCGUUGGAUGCUAGCUCUAGGGUGUUGAUUAGCCCCCAUUUCUAGGACGGUCAUAGCAAUCUGAGAGCUCAUAAGAUAUUUUAUAUUUUCUUAAAUAUACAUGAAUAAGAUACUAAAUGGCUUUAUAGAGUUCGUGAUCCAUAAAUAAUCUUUAAUGAUAAAACUAUCAGAAAUUAUUUUUCGUAAAUCAACUUUUCUCAUAAAAGUUCAUAAUUCAUAAUUAGACCCUAUGUGUAUCCCCUUUAUAGAAAAAUACACUUUUUCAUAAUUUUGGAAAUCAUUCGUACAUAAAUAUCUAUGAGAUAAUGCUAUAAAAACAUGGAUCGUAAAACAUUCAUAUGCUUGAUCUCAAAUUGCAAAGCCAAUCAUAUCAAUAUGAUUUAUAUUUUCAUAGUCCAUAUAAAUUAAAAUUGACCAAUAAUUUGAAAAUUAGUAAAGUUUGUGCCAGGUCACUUACCUUGGUGUGCCCAAAGAUUGCUACGUUCGAUUCAACAAAUCGACAACACCUAUUAGAAACCAUUUAAGAAUAUAAAUUAAUUCAUAUUCAACUAUUUAAAAUUUAAAAGAAACUUGAGGAGCGAAAUGGACUUGAUUGAGCUUCAUAUCCAAACCGGAAGGGGGAGGAAGGAAGGAUUGGCCAGGUGGUGGUGCUCGGCAUCCCAAAUUUGAUCAGAUCUUGGUAGAGACAACAUGAUCAUUGUUGUUGAUCUCGAUCAGUUGGGGCUAGAUGAUGAUACUUAUGUAGCCAUAUUCUUUCUAAGAUCAUAUGUGCCUUGACAGAACCAUGAAUUUUUGAACAUGCUUAAAUGAGUUGUGUGGGAUAUACAACAUGAACUAGAGAAAGAAACAUCUAUUUCGACUAGCUACAGAUGACCUUACUGCAUAUAUCGAAUUUAGAAUGUCAUCGCUAUCAAACUCAAGGAAAACACAUGCACCAAAAGCAACGAAGAGAUAGUCAAAUAAAGGCAAGUCACAGACCCACAACAAUCAAAGUAGUUUGAUGUUUAGCAUCAAUUGAAUCUAACAUGCAAUCCAACAUAAUCAAAAAUGACUAGGCAAGAUCAAAAGGGAAAGUGAGAGACAACGGCUUUUCAAUGUAACUAUAAGAUAUCACAUGAUCGAAGGCAAAAACAAGCCAAUUACCUGAGCCAUAUACUUAAACAUGCAAAAAUCAGCUUUAUGAAACAAACUAGAUUAUAAUUAGACAAAUAGGCAAAGAUUUGUAUAGCUAUUAUAAUCAGGUGACCCAACAUUGAUCUACACUUUGAAAAAUGAGUCUAGUGUCCAUAUUAGAGAAAUAAACAUAGAUCAAAAUGUCAAGGCUGUUUAUCUUGGGUGGUCAGUUGUGGUGAUGCCACCAGAACUCUGGUGGUUCAAGGAAACAGGUCAAGAUCAUGAUGGACCAAAAAUCAGAGAAGGUGAAAUAGGGGGAUUUGAUGGGUUUGGGCUGCUGAUCUAGAAAUAGGAUCCGACCAAUGUUGGCAGAUCAACAUCCCUAAAGAGAUAGAAAGAGAAGGAAUCAAGAAAGGGAUGGGAUUUAUUUAUUUUUUUGAAUAACAAAACAACUAUUAUUGAAUUUUGAGACAACAUCCGGUUGAGGCAUCCUAUCAAACAUUUGGUCAGCAAUAAAAUGAUCCCCAUGAAAAGAGCCUACUAAACCUCAUGUUGCCCAAAAUCUGAACCCCAAAAGUCAUAGAAAUGAGAGGCUACAAGUGUUCCAGUUUCAGAAUAAAGGACAUAUCAGAUCAUGUUGGAAGAGUAGAGUUCAUUGAGUAGCUUUUUCUAAAAAUGAAUCUUAGCUUAUAUUUGGUGAGAUAUGAACAAAAUAGGUUGGAGAAGGGAUGGAAUCCGGUGACUCACCUUUGAAACAAAAGAGGUGGAAGGUCUUUGGUUAGCGACUCGAUCAUAGGUGCCGGUGAGGCCUGGUCACGGGUGCCAGCAACAGUGAAGGCAAGAGAGGGAGAGAGAAGGAGAAGAAGAGAAGCCUGAUAGGUGAUGGUUUAGCUCAAGGGAGGGAAAGAAAUUUGGUUGUUUUCGGUAAUCACGCACAACCACCAUGGUUCUUGCACGUGCUCAAGAUUUUGGGGAUUACGGUGCGCAGCCAAGAUGGCAACUCAGCACUUGCCAUCCUGUACGCACGGGCAUUCCACGUCCAAAAUAUUUGUUUAGCAUUUCUUCCUUUCUCUCGCACUUUCUUUUUUU